CCUACGGGACGCACCAGUGGGGAAUAUUGCAUAAUGGGCGCAAGCCUGAUGCAGCCAUGCCGCGUGUGUGAAGAAGGCCUUCGGGUUGUAAAGCACUUUCAGCGGGGAGGAAGGCGAUAAGGUUAAUAACCUUGUCGAUUGACGUUACCCGCAGAAGAAGCGCCGGCUAACUCCGUGCCAGCAGCCGCGGUAAUACGGAGGGUGCAAGCGUUAAUCGGAAUUACUGGGCGUAAAGCGCACGCAGGCGGUCUGUCAAGUCGGAUGUGAAAUCCCCGGGCUCAACCUGGGAACUGCGUUCGAAACUGGCAGGCUAGAGUCUUGUAGAGGGGGGUAGAAUUCCAGGUGUAGCGGUGAAAUGCGUAGAGAUCUGGAGGAAUACCGGUGGCGAAGGCGGCCCCCUGGACGAAGACUGACGCUCAGGUGCGAAAGCGUGGGGAGCAAACAGGAUUAGAUACCCGGGUAGUC
rnacentral:rRNA from 1 species